CCUACGGGAGGCAGCAGUGAGGAAUAUUGGUCAAUGGGCGAGAGCCUGAACCAGCCAAGUCGCGUGAGGGAGUACUGCCCUAUGGGUUGUAAACCUCUUUUGUCGGGGAGCAAAAGCCGGACGUUUCCGGCUGUGAGAGUACCCGAAGAAAAAGCAUCGGCUAACUCCGUGCCAGCAGCCGCGGUAAUACGGGGGAUGCGAGCGUUUUCCGGAUUUAUUGGGUUUAAAGGGUGCGCAGGCGGAUUUUUAAGUCAGCGGUAAAAUCGUGGGGCUCAACCCCAUCCAGCCGUUGAAACUGGGGAUCUAGAGUGUGCGAGAGGUAUGCGGAAUGCGUGGUGUAGCGGUGAAAUGCAUAGAUAUCACGCAGAACCCCGAUUGCGAAGGCAGCAUACCGGUGCACAACUGACGCUGAGGCACGAAAGCGUGGGUAUCGAACAGGAUUAGAUACCCUAGUAGUC
rnacentral:rRNA from 1 species